UAAAUGGUAAAUAAUGAAAUAAGCUAAGAGGUGUCUUUGGUGUCUCUUAACUAAGAGACAAAUCUAUUGUUAAGAAGCGAUGACGUGGCGACUUCUUUCUCUUUCUCUCUCGUUUGUGAAACCGGAGACGACUUCGACGGCUCAAUCCCACGGCGCCUUCUCCGUUCAUAUCUAUCGCUUAAUCGUAAAGACGAGCUCAUCACGCCUUCGCCGGAGGAUACGCUCCGAUCUCUUGGUUUAAUAUCCGGUGACCUAAUUUACCAAUCUCUUGAGGCUAACGAAUUUUCGUCGGAAAUUGAGAGAUUAUCAAACCAAGCUCCUCAAUCGGAGAGUUAUCAUGCGAUUGUUCAUGAAUCUAUGGGUAUUGGAGUCGCAGAAGUUGAUUCUAAUCCGAAUUCCGGCGUAGAAGAUUCAGCGGAAGGAUACUUUGCUCUGUUGCAAAUGAUACUUCCAUCUCUUCUGUUGGUCCAGUUGGUCAAUCCCUUUCGACGAGGCUAUAUUUCAUUGGGACUGAAAUCUCCAAGGCACUAUCAUUGAAGAGGAAUUAGGUGGUCCUGUCGAAUCUUUCUUUAGCCAGUUUUCUCAAGAAAUUGUAGCAGCAGCAUCCUUUGGUCAGUUUCUCAAGUAACUGUAGCAAUUGCAUCCUUUGGAGGAGAAUCAUCUUUAAAUGGUUCUUAGAUUGAUAUGUUUAGGUUUGGUUUUCAGUUGAGCUCAAAGUCUUUUUUGAAUUGAGUCUGAAUUUGAAUUGUCUGACGAUUUGGUUAUUGACAUUGGAAUUGUGAUGAUGAGAAGAAAUGUGAAGAAAAGGAGAAGAAGCAGAGGAGCUCUGUAAAAAGGAGAGCAACUACAUGGAAAGAAGAAGAAGUUGUUGAUGUUGAUAAAAAGAAAUGCGAACAAGAACUCCAAGUAGUUCCUUUCAUCAAGGCAACAUCUCGUAGCAGGAGCAAGAAUGCAGACAACCUUAGCUUUGAUUUGAUUUGUUUUCAAACAUUUGAUACUUAUUUUAAGAGGGAACAUCAACCCUAGCUAAGGUUACAAUUUCUAUUUCCGUAUAAUCAUGCAUGGAUUUACGCCUUUUUACUCCAUACGAUCACUUAGCAAGUCCUACAUAAGUAUGUGCUUAAUUGUUAUGCUUUUUUCAAAAACUUUAUUGGAUCACUUGUAUGUUUAAUUGAUUUUCUAUUUUCAAUCUUCUAACGUUUGGCUUUGUUUACUUACGUUAAGUUGAAGCUUUGAAUUUUCCAAAUAUGAAAAACAAAUCAAACAAAUAAGAUUAAAAAUCUGUUCAAUUU